GUCUCGGUAGUGUAAGGGGUAGAGCACGGUGCCAGUAAAGCACAAGCAUGGGUUCAUUUCCCGUCCGAGACU
rnacentral:tRNA from 1 species